CGAGGAUUCCCUUAGUAACUGCGAGUGAAGAGGGAACAGCCCAGCACCGAAUCCCUCAGCAGUAUCGCUGACGGGAAGUGUGGUGUUAAGAUUGCUCCUUGUGCGUUGGUGUGCCGCCCAAGUCCUCUUGACUGGGGCUCGAUGGCCCAUAGUGGGUGUCAGGCCUUUAGUGGCGGCGUGCUGGCGUGCAUGGUUCAAUCAACGAGUCGGGUUGUUUGUGAAUACAACCCAAAGUAGGUGGUAUACUCCAUCUAAGGCUAAAUAUGAGUACGAGUCCGAUAGCAAACAAGUACCGUGAGGGAAAGUUGCAAAGAACUUUGAAGAGAGAGUUCAAGAGUACGUGAAACCGCUAAGAGGGAAGCGGGUGAGGCCACGUGGUUGCGCGACGAAUUCAGUUGCUCGCGAUUGCGGUCGCUUUGUGCCGUCGCAUGCGGCCAGUGAUGGUCGUUGGGCGGUGCGGGGUGCAUACUCAGUCGGAGCAGCGCAUUUUCGUCGCUGCAAUGUGCCACGAUCGGUUGUUCUGGCGGCUAGAAGCUCUCGGCGCAGGUAGCAGCGCUGCGUUGGUUUGCAACGUGGGGUCUGCGAAGCGCCGUCUGUUUAUAGUGCGCUGGGCGACUGUGGACAGCUGCUCUGAGAGCUGAAGCGGCGUAGGCCGUGCGAAGCGGGGCUAGCUGCGCGGGCGGGCUUGUUCGGCGGUGCCUGGACUGGUUCUGCAGUGCUGGUGCCGUCGGGUGGGCUGUCUGGCUGUGCGCUUGUCCGGAGAGCAUUUUGCGACGCUGUUCAGUGGCGUGCUGGUCACUUACCCGUCCCGUCUUGAAACACGGACCAAGGAGUUCAGCUUGCGGGCGAGUCUGAGGGUGUUGCAAACCCGAAGGCGAAGUGAAAGCAAAGACCGCUCCUUGUUGGGCGGACGUGAUGGGAUCCCGGCGCGGCGAGAGCCGUCCGGGCGCACCAUCGUCUCGUCGGUGCCUCGUGUGGGCUCGGCGACGACAGAGCCCGCGGGCUGAGACCCGAAAGAUGGUGAACUAUGCCAGAGCAGGGUGAAGCCAGAGGAAACUCUGGUGGAAGCCCGAAGCGAUUCUGACGUGCAAAUCGAUCGUCUGACUUUGGUAUAGGGGCGAAAGACUAAUCGAACCAUCUAGUAGCUGGUUCCCUCCGAAGUUUCCCUCAGGAUAGCUGGCACUCGUUCGGAGGCAGUUGUACCCGGUAAAGCGAAUGAUUAGAGUGUUCUGGACCGAAACGGUCUAAACCUAUUCUCAAACUGUAAAUGGGUACGAGGAUUGGCUCGCUUGAUUGGAGUCGAUCUGCUUCUCACAAACGAAUGCGUGGAGUGCCCAGUGGGCCACUUUUGGUAAGCAGAACUGGCGCUGUGGGAUGAACCAAACGCACGGUUAAGGUGCCAAACGCGGACGCUCAUUGGAAACCACAAAAGGUGUUGGUUGAUAUAGACAGCAGGACGGUGGUCAUGGAAGUCGAAAUCCGCUAAGGAGUGUGUAACAACUCACCUGCCGAAUCAACCAGCCCUGAAAAUGGAUAGCGCUCGAGCGUCGGACCUAUACCGUGCCGUCACGGGAGAGCAUUGCUGAAGCAGCCCGUGUCGAGUAGGAGGGCGCCGUGGUGAACGUCGAAGCCUAGGGCGCGAGCCCGGGUGGAGUCGCCACGGGUGCAGAUCUUGGUGGUAGUAGCAAGUAUUCAAGUGAGAACCUUGAAGACUGAUGUGUGGAGAAGGGUUCCAUGUGAACAGCAGUUGAACAUGGGUCAGUCGAUCCUAAGUGAUAGGAAAGCUCCGUUCUGAAGCUGGGCGCUGCACAACGCAGACGCGUGUGUCGCUCGCCCGUGCCUAUCGAAAGGGAAUCGGGUUAAUAUUCCCGAACCUGCACACGGAGAUCGCUCCCGUGCCGUGGACAACGCGGUGCGGGAGCAGGCGCGGUAACGCAAGCCCGCUUGGAGAAGUCGGCGGCGGUCCCGGGAAGAGUUAUCUCUUCUUUGUUAGGAAGCGUGUCCCAUGGAAUCGGCUUGGCCGGAGAUAUGGGCGUUAGCUUCCGUAAAGCAUCGCGUUCUACGCGGUGUCCGGUGCGCUGUCGUCGACCCUGGAAAAUCCGAGAGGGGCGUGAUGAUUUUCUGGCAGAUCGUACCGAUAUCCGCAGCAGGUCUCCAAGGUGAAGAGCCUCUAGUCUCUAGAAUAAUGUA
rnacentral:rRNA from 1 species